GAUGAACGCUGGCGGCGUGCCUAAUACAUGCAAGUCGAGCGAACGGACGAGAAGCUUGCUUUUCUGAUGUUAGCGGCGGACGGGUGAGUAACACGUGGAUAACCUACCUAUAAGACUGGGAUAACUUCGGGAAACCGGAGCUAAUGCCGGAUAAUAUUUUGAACCGCAUGGUUCAAAAGUGAAAGACGGUCUUGCUGUCACUUAUAGAUGGAUCCGCGCUGCAUUAGCUAGUUGGUAAGGUAACGGCUUACCAAGGCAACGAUGCAUAGCCGACCUGAGAGGGUGAUCGGCCACACUGGGACUGAGACACGGUUCAGACUCCUACGGGAGGCAGCAGUAGGGAAUCUUCCGCAAUGGGCGAAAGCCUGACGGAGCAACGCCGCGUGAGUGAUGAAGGUCUUCGGAUCGUAAAACUCUGUUAUUAGGGAAGAACAUAUGUGUAAGUAACUGUGCACAUCUUGACGGUACCUAAUCAGAAAGCCACGGCUAACUACGU
rnacentral:rRNA from 1 species